ACUGCCAUACCACCCUGAACAUGUCUGAUCUCGUCUGAUCUCAGAAGCUAAAUGGGGUAGGGCCUGGUUAGUGCUUGGAUGGGACAAAAUGAGAAAUAAUGCCAUUU
rnacentral:rRNA from 1 species